CCUACGGGAGGCAGCAGUGGGGAAUAUUGGACAAUGGGCGAAAGCCUGAUCCAGCCAUGCCGCGUGUGUGAAGAAGGCCUUCGGGUUGUAAAGCACUUUCAGUGGGGAAGAAAGCCUUGGGGCUAAUACCCUCGAGGAAGGACAUCACCCACAGAAGAAGCACCGGCUAACUCCGUGCCAGCAGCCGCGGUAAUACGGAGGGUGCGAGCGUUAAUCGGAAUUACUGGGCGUAAAGCGCGCGUAGGCGGUCUGAUAAGCCGGUUGUGAAAGCCCCGGGCUCAACCUGGGAACGGCAUCCGGAACUGUCAGGCUAGAGUGCAGGAGAGGAAGGUAGAAUUCCCGGUGUAGCGGUGAAAUGCGUAGAGAUCGGGAGGAAUACCAGUGGCGAAGGCGGCCUUCUGGACUGACACUGACGCUGAGGUGCGAAAGCGUGGGGAGCAAACAGGAUUAGAUACCCCAGUAGUC
rnacentral:rRNA from 1 species